rnacentral:rRNA from 1 species
GAUGAACGCUGGCGGCGUGCCUAAUACAUGCAAGUCGAGCGAACAGAUGAGGAGCUUGCUCCUCUGACGUUAGCGGCGGACGGGUGAGUAACACGUGGAUAACCUACCUAUAAGACUGGGAUAACUUCGGGAAACCGGAGCUAAUACCGGAUAAUAUAUUGAACCGCAUGGUUCAAUAGUGAAAGACGGUUUUGCUGUCACUUAUAGAUGGAUCCGCGCCGCAUUAGCUAGUUGGUAAGGAACGGCUUACCAAGGCAACGAUGCGUAGCCGACCUGAGAGGGUGAUCGGCCACACUGGAACUGAGACACGGUCCAGACUCCUACGGGAGGCAGCAGUAGGGAAUCUUCCGCAAUGGGCGAAAGCCUGACGGAGCAACGCCGCGUGAGGGAUGAAGGUCUUCGGAUCGUAAAACUCUGUUAUUAGUGAAGAACAAAUGUGUAAGUAACUAUGCACGUCUUGACGGUACCUAAUCAGAAAGCCACGGCUAACUACGUG